UGUUUGGAGAGUUUGAUCCUGGCUCAGGACGAACGCUGGCGGCGUGCUUAACACAUGCAAGUCGAACGGGAUCUGUAGUGCUUGCACUGCAGUGAGAGUGGCGAACGGGUGAGUAACACGUGAGUAACCUGCCCCCUUCUUUGGGAUAACUGCAAGAAAUUGUGGCUAAUACCGGAUAUUCUGGCUGUACCGCAUGGUGUGGUUGGGAAAGGUUUUUUUCUGGUGGGGGAUGGGCUCGCGGUCUAUCAGCUUGUUGGUGGGGUGAUGGCUUACCAAGGCUUUGACGGAUAGCCGGCCUGAGAGGGUGGUCGGUCACACUGGGACUGAGAUACGGCCCAGACUCCUACGGGAGGCAGCAGUGGGGAAUUUUGCACAAUGGACGCAAGUCUGAUGCAGCGACGCCGCGUGAGGGAUGACGGCCUUCGGGUUGUAAACCUCUUUCGCUCAUGGUCUAGGCAUGUUUUCGGGCAUGUUGAGUUGAGUGGGUAAAGAAGCGCCGGCUAACUACGUGCCAGCAGCCGCGGUAAUACGUAGGGCGCGAGCGUUGUCCGGAAUUAUUGGGCGUAAAGAGCUCGUAGGCGGUUUGUCGCGUCUGUCGUGAAAACUAGGGGCUUAACCUCUAGCUUGCGGUGGGUACGGGCAGGCUUGAGUGCAGUAGGGGAGACUGGAAUUCCUGGUGUAGCGGUGGAAUGCGCAGAUAUCAGGAGGAAUACCGGUGGCGAAGGCGGGUCUCUGGGCUGUUACUGACGCUGAGGAGCGAAAGCAUGGGGAGCGAACAGGAUUAGAUACCCUGGUAGUCCAUGCCGUAAACGUUGGGCACUAGGUGUGGGGGCUGUUGUGGUUUCUGCGCCGUAGCUAACGCAUUAAGUGCCCCGCCUGGGGAGUACGGCCGCAAGGCUAAAACUCAAAGGAAUUGACGGGGGCCCGCACAAGCGGCGGAGCAUGUGGAUUAAUUCGAUGCAACGCGAAGAACCUUACCUGGGCUUGACAUGUACGGGAUCGGGCCAGAGAUGGUCUUUCCCUUGUGGCUCGUAUACAGGUGGUGCAUGGUUGUCGUCAGCUCGUGUCGUGAGAUGUUGGGUUAAGUCCCGCAACGAGCGCAACCCUUGUCUCAUGUUGCCAGCACGUUGUGGUGGGGACUCGUGAGAGACUGCCGGGGUCAACUCGGAGGAAGGUGGGGAUGACGUCAAAUCAUCAUGCCCCUUAUGUCUUGGGCUUCACGCAUGCUACAAUGGUGCCUACAGAGUGUUGCGAUACCGUGAGGUGGAGCGAAUCACUUAAAGGGUGUCUUAGUUCGGAUCGGGGUCUGCAACUCGACCCCGUGAAGGUGGAGUCGCUAGUAAUCGCAGAUCAGCAACGCUGCGGUGAAUACGUUCUCGGGCCUUGUACACACCGCCCGUCACGUCACGAAAGUUGGUAACACCCGAAGCCUGCGGCCUAACCGUUCUUUUGGGGGGAGUGGUCGAAGGUGGGACUAGCGAUUGGGACGAAGUCGUAACAAGGUAGCCGUACCGGAAGGUGCGGCUGGAUCACCUCCUUU
rnacentral:rRNA from 1 species